UGAACCUACAGAAGGAUCAUUG
rnacentral:rRNA from 1 species